GUCGCAGCAAGCCGUGAUGACUGGUUGCGGCGUCAGAGCGCUGUGGAUUCUCAACAGCGUAGACGCCAUCGUCUUUUCCAGGAGGUUUACUGUGGUGGAGAAGCGAUGGCGUGCUGCUUGUCAGAGUGAAAAUGAGAGCGCUAGCGAAUAUUCCUCAAAGAAUUCCGCCGUGUCUGUACUACCUACAGAUCCAGAAUUAGCCACUGCAUUUGCGGAGAGGAAGCAAAGGUCAGCGAAACAGUUCACCAGUCUUAUUUUCUCGUUUCUGAUUUUCAACAUCGUAAUCUGUCAAUGAAGAAUUGUUUCUUAGCUUUUAAGCCUCAUAUCUCAUGAUUAUGAAGCUACUCAUUAAAUUGAGGCUGAAUAUAGGCUUGGUAGUCCCGUUACUUAACUAAAAUUUACAUUUGGAAGUCCAUGACAUUCCAACUUUUGGUUCUGGUGUCAUCUUUUCGUUUGAAACUUUAGAGCCAUUUUUUUUUUUUCAAAACCCGUUUUCAACUAACCAUGAUGUUAGCUGUACCUAUGCUGGGAGGGAUUGUUGCGCGGGUUUGGCAUUCGUGUAACUCAAUUGACCAACGGCUCGGAUUCCUGGGUUGAUGACCCAAUUACACGUCAUAUUAUAAGCCUUUACAUACACAUAGAGGAGGAAGGAGAGAAUCAUUUUCUAUGGCCUUUAGUCUUGCAUGUAAAUGGCCCCGAUUGCAUCCUAGUGUUGCCUUUGGUGGAGCCUCGUCAACUAAAGGAGUAUAUGGAGUUGUGUAGAAGAUCUGAUUGUGGAAAGCUAUUGGUGCAGAUGGAAGUUUGUCUUCACUCAUCCUUGAUCUUCUGUCCAUCACAGGGUGUGGUUAUGGCUGCAGUGAGAAUAUUGGGAAAAAUGGAGAAUGAAAAGAGUUUGAAGUAUAUAGCAUUGGCCGAAUUAGGAGAAGGAUGCUCGCCACUCAACUAUAUACUACUAUUCACACUGUCGUGAAAUAAUUGAUGUUGGUGUAACCAUCUUGUCAAAAAAGUUUGUAUGCUCGAGACCUGUCCAUUGGUUUGCUUCCCAAGUAUAACUGCAGCUAGAAUUGCCAUUAUUGUUUCUAGUUGUCCCAACAUAAAGAAGGUCUUGAUUGAGAAAUGAAAAAUUAGUGAGAGGAUCAAACACAGAGCAAGUGCAGUCAUGGCCUCCCUCUGCUUUUUUGCUUUUGUUGCUCUUCUUUGUUAUAAGAAUAAUAAAUUUGGUUUCGUUAUUUCUUAUCAGAGUUUGAAGGAGCAUGUGUCGAAUUAGAAGAAAUAUACCUGCUACUCAACUAUAUAGUACUCUCAUACUGUUGUGAAAUAACUGAUGUUGGUCUAGCACAUCUUGUCAAAACUUCUAGUCUAUUUGAGACCUGUCACAUGGUUUAUUAUUCAAGUAUAACUGCAGUUGAAGUUGUCACCAUUAUUUCUAGUUGUCCCAACAUAAAGAAGAUCUUGAUUGAGAAAUAAAA